GACGAACGCUGGCGGCGUGCUUAACACAUGCAAGUCGAACGGAAAGGCCCUGCUUUUGUGGGGUGCUCGAGUGGCGAGCGGGUGAGUAACACGUGAGUAACCUGCCCUUGACUUUGGGAUAACUUCAGGAAACUGGGGCUAAUACCGGAUAGGAGCUCCUGCUGCAUGGUGGGGGUUGGAAAGUUUCGGCGGUUGGGGAUGGACUCGCGGCUUAUCAGCUUGUUGGUGGGGUAGUGGCUUACCAAGGCUUUGACGGGUAGCCGGCCUGAGAGGGUGACCGGCCACAUUGGGACUGAGAUCCGGCCCAGACUCCUACGGGAGGCAGCAGUGGGGAAUAUUGCACAAUGGGCGGAAGCCUGAUGCAGCAACGCCGCGUGCGGGAUGACGGCCUUCGGGUUGUAAACCGCUUUCGCCUGUGACGAAGCGUGAGUGACGGUAAUGGGUAAAGAAGCACCGGCUAACUACGU
rnacentral:rRNA from 1 species